rnacentral:lncRNA from 1 species
GAAAUCGACAGAAUUAAAUGCAGUCUUUGCUAUGGACGAAAUUUGAUCUUCCUUGAUUAUUUUUGGGCUGAAUCCACUUUGCUGGGCUUCUAUAAUGGACCAAGAUUGUAGAACAAGUCAGUUUGUAGCUUAGUUCAUUCUGGUCUGGUCGGAAUUCUUCAUUGAAUGCGCGAAGGUCCGAAUCUGGUAAACUGGAGAACACCUGAUUUGUAAAUUGAAUAACUCCUUUGUUUGAUCUCCUUUUGCUUUGAUUCUUCUUCGAGGAGUUCCAUAGUUGAGCUGAGCACAUUCUCCAAGUAGUUUCGUGCUUUGAUUCCUUGUCAUUCGGAAGAUACACUUCAAAAACUGAACACAUAUCCUGAUGCUUCCCAUUAUCAUAUCAUACUCUCCCUCUUGAAAAAGGAUUUGCCCUCAAAUCCGGCUACUGUUCUUCUUCUUUUCUUUUUUUUUGAGAAAAAUAAAGGAAUAAAAAUAAAAAAGAAAUACAAGAUGAAGAGAUGAGGAGAUGAAUGAAAGAAGAUGGAGAGAAGAGAAGAUGAUAGAAUGAUAGAAUGAUAGACCGAGCUUAGAGUGUUACUCUGAUACCAAAUGAUAAGAAUCUCCCAAGGAGUCGGCACUCUAAGACGGUGAAUAGAUAUUCCUUAGGUUCAACGGACGGUGAAGCCACGAAGAACAAGGAUGGUGGAGCGAAUGGUCACACAAGAGCUGCGGAAGACUCUUGAUUUACCGAACUUGAAUUCCUUAGAUAUGACACAGUAAGACGAAUUCAAGGCUGAAAAUGAGAAUCACUUUCGACAAGACCCCCUGGAUAUGACGCACCAAGACAGAUCAUGUAUUGAUCAAUGGACACACCAUUAACCAAACCAAUGGAUAUUACACACCAUUGACGAAAAAUGAAAACUCACUCUCAAAGGAUUCCAAAAAUAUCAAAAAGGCUUAUUCUUUAUUCAUGAGAUGAACCUCAUUAUAUAGAGGAAUUACAACAAAUUCGUCCAUAAUAGUUUCUUAACAUGCAAAGCAUCUAGGGAGAUGAAAUUCAAACUCUAAAGUGCAUGUAAGAGAGAGAAAUCGACAGAAUUAAAUGCAGUCUUUGCUAUGGACGAAAUUUGAUCUU